AUAGAGGAGCGUAUAUGGCGCAAUAUUAUACUACUACUUAGCAAGGUGUUGAAAUGGCUUCUCAAAAGUUGUUGGUUCUCCUGCUGUUGGUGGCGCUUGUAUAUCAUGAGGUGAACGGCGCGGAUGUGGUACAGCUGGACGACAAGAAGGACAUCGUCGAUUUAUCUGAUAAGGGAGGACGACUUGACCAAGUAAAAAUCGUCGAUGAUGCCGACAUUCUAGCUUCCAGCAGGGAUAAAUUUGGAAAAUAGACCCCGAGCAUAUUAUAUUCAAACAAUAUAUUAUAACAUGAGCACAG